rnacentral:tRNA from 1 species
GGUAUAGCUCAGUGGUAAAGCACAUGCUUAGCAGGCAUGAGGUCCUGAGUUCAACCCCCAGUACC